rnacentral:lncRNA from 1 species
AAACUAGACUUCACUUUCUCCACAAAUUCACUGUUCUUAAAGCCCUCAAAAAUAUCCGACGAUGAACUCCUCCUCUGCAAUCUCGUCUUCAACGCCCGAAUUGGCUCCCAUUCCUUCUGUCCCUCUUCACUCUCCUCCUUCCACUCCCCCCAAAACUCCUUCAACCUCAGCCCCCUCCCUCUACGAACCCUCUCCCACCCACGAAACCCUAAGCCCCCAUCCCUCUCCUCCGCGUCCGCAACAAUCGCGUUCUUUAUGGCUGACAAAUCGAUCCGAAUCCUCGUCCGAGGGCUCCAUUUCUCCAGAACCUUCCGGCUGAAGUCCGGCGACGAGUACGCUCGCCGAAUUUCGGAGAUCUUCGGCUGCAAACGCUUGACGAAGUCAAUUUCAGCCGGCGGCGAGGACUUGAUG